CAAGUCGAGCGGAACGAGUUAUCUGAACCUUCGGGGGACGAUAACGGCGUCGAGCGGCGGACGGGUGAGUAAUGCCUAGGAAAUUGCCCUGAUGUGGGGGAUAACCAUUGGAAACGAUGGCUAAUACCGCAUGAUGCCUACGGGCCAAAGAGGGGGACCUUCGGGCCUCUCGCGUCAGGAUAUGCCUAGGUGGGAUUAGCUAGUUGGUGAGGUAAGGGCUCACCAAGGCGACGAUCCCUAGCUGGUCUGAGAGGAUGAUCAGCCACACUGGAACUGAGACACGGUCCAGACUCCUACGGGAGGCAGCAGUGGGGAAUAUUGCACAAUGGGCGCAAGCCUGAUGCAGCCAUGCCGCGUGUGUGAAGAAGGCCUUCGGGUUGUAAAGCACUUUCAGUCGUGAGGAAGGUAGUGUAGUUAAUAGCUGCAUUAUUUGACGUUAGCGACAGAAGAAGCACCGGCUAACUCCGUGCCAGC
rnacentral:rRNA from 2 species